AGCAGCCGCGGUAAUUCCAGCUCCAAUAGCGUAUAUUAAAGUUGUUGCAGUUAAAAAGCUCGUAGUUGAAUUUCGGGAUCAAUACGUCGGUCGUGCUUUCGGGUACGUACUGGCGUCAUUGGUUUCUCCUUUCUGACGAACCAUGAUGUCAUUAAUUUGGUGUUAUGGGGAGUUAGGACUGUUACUUUGAAAAAUUAGAGUGUUUAAAGCAGGCAUUAGCUUGAAUACAUUAGCAUGGAAUAAUGAAAUAGGACGUUCGAUCCUAUUUUGUUGGUUUCUAGGAUCAACGUAAUGAUUAAUAGGGAUAGUUGGGGGCAUUAGUACUCGAUUGUCAGAGGUGAAAUUCUUGGAUUUAUUGAAGGCUAACUACUGCGAAAGCAUUUGCCAAGGAUGUUUUCAUUAAUCAAGAACGAAAGUUAGGGGAUCGAAGACGAUCAGAUACCGUCGUAGUCUUAACCAUAAACUNUGCCGAACUAGGGAUCGGAUGAUGUUAAUUAUUUAAUGACUCAUUCGGCG
rnacentral:rRNA from 1 species